rnacentral:rRNA from 1 species
UGGGGAAUAUUGGACAAUAGGCGAAAGCCUGAUCCAGCCAUGCCGCGUGUGUGAAGAAGGUCUUCGGAUUGUAAAGCACUUUAAGUUGGGUGGAAGGGCAUUAACCUAAUACGUUAGUGUUUUGACGUUACCGACAGAAUAAGCACCGGCUAACUCUGUGCCAGCAGCCGCGGUAAUACAGAGGGUGCAAGCGUUAAUCGGAAUUACUGGGCGUAAAGCGCGCGUAGGUGGUUUGUUAAGUUGGAUGUGAAAUCCCCGGGCUCAACCUGGGAACUGCAUUCAAAACUGACUGACUAGAGUAUGGUAGAGGGUGGUGGAAUUUCCUGUGUAGCGGUGAAAUGCGUAGAUAUAGGAAGGAACACCAGUGGCGAAGGCGACCACCUGGACUAAUACUGACACUGAGGUGCGAAAGCGUGGGGAGCAAACA